rnacentral:rRNA from 1 species
GAUGAACGCUGGCGGCGUGCCUAAUACAUGCAAGUCGAGCGAACAGACGAGGAGCUUGCUCCUCUGACGUUAGCGGCGGACGGGUGAGUAACACGUGGAUAACCUACCUAUAAGACUGGGAUAACUUCGGGAAACCGGAGCUAAUACCGGAUAAUAUAUUGAACCGUAUGGUUCAAUAGUGAAAGACGGUUUUGCUGUCACUUAUAGAUGGAUCCGCGCCGCAUUAGCUAGUUGGUAAGGUAACGGCUUACCAAGGCAACGAUGCGUAGCCGACCUGAGAGGGUGAUCGGCCACACUGGAACUGGAACACGGUCCAGACUCCUACGGGAGGCAGCAGUAGGGAAUCUUCCGCAAUGGGCGAAAGCCUGACGGAGCAACGCCGCGUGAGUGAUGAAGGUCUUCGGAUCGUAAAACUCUGUUAUUAGGGAAGAACAAAUGUGUAAGUAACUGUGCACGUCUUGACGGUACCUAAUCAGAAAGCCACGGCUAACUACGUG